rnacentral:rRNA from 1 species
UGCCAGCAGCCGCGGUAAUACAGGAGGAGCAAGUGUUAUUCAGAAUUACUGGGCGUAAAACGUACGUAGGCGGAUUAAUAAGUUAGAGGUGAAAUCCCGGGGCUCAACCCCGGAACUGCCUUUAAAACUACUAGUCUAGAGUUCGAGAGAGGUGAGUGGAAUUCCGAGUGUAGAGGUGAAAUUCGUAGAUAUUCGGAGGAACACCAGUGGCGAAGGCGGCUCACUGGCUCGAUACUGACGCUGAGGUGCGAAAGUGUGGGGAGCAAACAGGAUUAGAUA